rnacentral:rRNA from 1 species
UGGCUCGAGGACGAACGCUGGCGGCGUGCUUAACACAUGCAAGUCGAACGGGGAUCAUCGGGCGGAAGGCUUCGGCCGGAAGGCUGGUGAUUCCAGUGGCGGACGGGUGAGUAACGCGUGAACAAUCUGUCCCAGACAGGGGGAUAACACUUGGAAACAGGUGCUAAUACCGCAUGAGACCACGGUGUCGCAUGGCACAGGGGUAAAAGGAGCGAUCCGGUUUGGGGUGAGUUCGCGUCCGAUUAGCCAGUUGGCGGGGUAACGGCCCACCAAAGCGACGAUCGGUAGCCGACCUGAGAGGGUGAUCGGCCACAUUGGAACUGAGAGACGGUCCAAACUCCUACGGGAGGCAGCAGUGGGGAAUAUUGGGCAAUGGGCGAAAGCCUGAACCCCCAGCAACGCCGCGUGAGUGAAGAAGGCCUUCGGGUUGUAAAGCUCUGUUAUAGGGGACGAAGUGCGUGACGGUACCCUAUAAGGAAGCCCCGGCUAACUACGUGCCAGCAGCAGC